CCGUCAGCGUGGUAUUCCUUCUCGUCAGCCGUCAGCAGCUUGGCGAGGCCGAAGUCGGUGAUCUUGACGUGGUUGGGAGUUUUAACCAGGACGUUCCUCGCCGCCAGGUCUCGAUGCACCAGGUGGCGCUCCUCCAGGAGGCGGCGCAGGGUCCUCUUCCUUGUGAUUCGUCGUCGCCGUAGCAACACAAAGAUAACCAAUGAGACGAUGACAGCAAUCAAGAGCCCACCAACCACGACCGCCGCCAACGUGGAGUGGGUGGCAGCACUGUGAGGACGUACAGAAUGCACAACGUUUGUGUUUGAAAUUAUUGUGAGACAGUCCAGGACCUGAACACCUGCAGACACAGAGACACAAAACAUGCAAUUCGGGUGGCAGGCCUGGCACUGGGCUGUCCGGUCCGGUAUUUCCAGAUCAGCGUGUCUCCGUCUCCCAGCACACCGUGGGGGCAGCGCGGCACGCAGUGGGGGCCAUCUUUAAAAUGGGCGCACUGGGAACACUGGUCUGGACCCUGCAGGUCGGGGGUGGAUGAGGGAUGAUAUGUUCAAAAGUAAUCUAUACAAAAUUUGCAGGUUACAGUGCGACACGCAGCGCCCCCUACGGUUGAAAUGCCGACAGGAGACACACAUGGUGGGGCCUGGACCCCAGCAGCCCUCAUCCGUACACUCCGUGUCACAGGUUCUCAAACACUGACAGAGAGGUCAGAUUCUCCGGCCAGGACUGGAUCAGCAGGAAACCUGGAGGACACACACUCACACUCUGACUGACUGUACCUGCACUGUUCAGAUCAACCAUCCUCUGUCUCUCUACCUUUAGGACAGGGUCCGUCGCAUGCUUUGCAGCGUUGGACUCCGUUCUCCUCCACCUCGUACAUUCCAGUGCUGCAGCAGCUAAUCCCUCUGAGAGCAAAGAAAAGGCUCUAAAUGAAAGUACAGUCGGAGCAGAGUGAAGUCACGGAGCAGCAGGACAAAAAUCCAUCUUCAUAAAAGAUCAAAGAGGGAGGAGAAGACGUGGAGGAGAAGAUGGAGAGCGAUCCUGCCCGCAACCUUCGACCAGACAGAUUCCUGUUCUCGAAGAGACGCAGAGAAACAAAAACACUAAAGUGAGUUCAUCUUAACUCUGGUCCCUUUGCAGAUCUGUGUGAUUUGGUGAAGCUUAGAGAAUCCAAAAAUCUCUAUUUACACAACUCAACGUCUCUUUAUAGAAAGAAUACACCAGCUUUUCAACCUGUAGGGGAGUAACUGGAGCUGGGAUUGGAUCAAAUCUGAAUGCUUUGACUCUCUUAUUGAACCUGUUUAUGUUUAGCUCUCAACAUUUGUCAGUAAAGUCAAAUAAUUAAAACUACAAAAGCAGAAGCCGUUCUGAGUGUCCGUCCGAUUAAUGCUGACAACCUGCAGCUCCAGCUAGAAGAUAUGAAAUAUGGAUUUCAUCUGAGUCUGACACCUUAUUCUUCACCAGCUACUUGAUCCAGACACUGCAGCUAUUGAUCUGAUUUCAAGGAAAGUUAGUGAUUUCAUCUCUGAAACAGACGUGAGAUCAGCUGAUAAUGUCGCCACAGAAGACUCAUCAAAGAUCAUUUACUCACGUACUGAAGGACAAAUCUGAGGUUCUUUUCAUGCUACUAUCUACUUCCACUCCGCUACCUCUCCGAGGGAAAUACUGGACUUUCACUGCGUUUCUCUGACGGCUUCAGUUACUUUUCACAUUAAAACAUGAGGAGUUUUGUUAGAAAUGAAACUCCAACAGUUCUUCCUGGCUGCAGCUCCUCAGAUGUGCAGAUCUGCUGCUUUUCCUCUGAACGACUGUAAUAACUGUAAUGUUUGUUAAUAACGUCGAGCUUUGGACUGUCGGUCGGACA